ACGGGUGAGUAAUGUAUCGGAACGUGCCCAAUCGUGGGGGAUAACGUAGAGAAAUUUACGCUAAUACCGCAUACGAUCUAAGGAUGAAAGCGGGGGAUCGCAAGACCUCGCGCGAUUGGAGCGGCUGAUAUCAGAUUAGGUUGUUGGUGAGGUAAAAGCUCACCAAGCCGACGAUCUGUAGCUGGUUUGAGAGAACGACCAGCCACACUGGGACUGAGACACGGCCCAGACUCCUACGGGAGGCAGCAGUGGGGAAUUUUGGACAAUGGGCGCAAGCCUGAUCCAGCAAUGCCGCGUGCAGGAAGAAGGCCUUCGGGUUGUAAACUGCUUUUGUACGGAACGAAACGGCUCUUUCUAAUAAAGAGGGCUAAUGACGGUACCGUAAGAAUAAGCACCGGCUAACUACGUGCCAGCAGCCGCGGUAAUACGUAGGGUGCGAGCGUUAAUCGGAAUUACUGGGCGUAAAGCGUGCGCAGGCGGUUAUGUAAGACAGUUGUGAAAUCCCCGGGCUCAACCUGGGAAUUGCAUCUGUGACUGCAUAGCUAGAGUACGGUAGAGGGGGAUGGAAUUCCGCGUGUAGCAGUGAAAUGC
rnacentral:rRNA from 1 species